rnacentral:rRNA from 1 species
AGUGAACGCUGGCGGUAGGCCUAACACAUGCAAGUCGAACGGCAGCACAGUAAGAGCUUGCUCUUACGGGUGGCGAGUGGCGGACGGGUGAGGAAUACAUCGGAAUCUACUUUUUCGUGGGGGAGAACGUAGGGAAACUUACGCUAAUACCGCAUACGACCUACGGGUGAAAUCAGGGGAUCUUCGGACCUUGCGCGAUUGAAUGAGCCGAUGUCGGAUUAGCUAGUUGGCGGGGUAAAGGCCCACCAAGGCGACGAUCCGUAGCUGGUCUGAGAGGAUGAUCAGCCACACUGGAACUGAGACACGGUCCAGACUCCUACGGGAGGCAGCAGUGGGGAAUAUUGGACAAUGGGCGCAAGCCUGAUCCAGCCAUACCGCGUGGGUGAAGAAGGCCUUCGGGUUGUAAAGCCCUUUUGUUGGGAAAGAAAAGCAGCAGGUUAAUACCCCGCUGUUCUGACGGUACCCAAAGAAUAAGCACCGGCUAACUUCGUG